AAUCAACGCUGGCGGCGCGCUUAACACAUGCAAGUCGAACGAGAAAGUGGAGCAAUCCAUGAGUAAAGUGGCGUACGGGUGAGUAACACGUGGGUAAUCUACCUCUUAGUGGGGAAUAACGCUGGGAAACCGGCGCUAAUACCGCAUAAGCUCGAGAGAGGAAAGUCGUAAGACGCUGAGAGAGGAGCCCGCGGCCGAUUAGUUAGAUGGCAGGGUAAAAGCCUACCAUGACGUAGAUCGGUAGCCGGCCUGAGAGGGCACACGGGCACACUGGCACUGAAACACGGGCCAGACUCCUACGGGAGGCAGCAGUGGGGAAUCUUGCACAAUGGGGGAAACCCUGAUGCAGCGACGCCGCGUGAGCGAUGAAGCCCUUCGGGGUGUAAAGCUCUUUCGGCAGGGAAGAUUAUGACGGUACCUGCAGAAGCAGCUGCGGCUAACUACGUGCCAGCAGCCGCGGUAAUACGUAGGCAGCGAGCGUUGUUCGGAGUUACUGGGCGUAAAGGGUGUGUAGGCGGUUCUCUAAGUUUGGUGUGAAAUCUCCCGGCUUA
rnacentral:rRNA from 1 species